rnacentral:snoRNA from 1 species
GAAAUCGUACUUCACAGGAUCUUUUCUGUAGUAUGUUUUUCUAUGUGUUGACACAAAGUCAAUCACACCAAAGCGGUGAGGAUUAGAUACGGCCUCCUCUCUUGAGCGUGAAGACGCGUUUCAGUUCUCUUUGAAGAAUUGUUCGCUUGAUGACCGCCAAGAGGACUCUUUUGCCCUCUGAUGGAGGGGAGGCGUUAUGAGCCGU